UACGUAGGGUGCUAGCGUUGUCCGGAUUUAUUGGGCGUAAAGAGCGUGUAGGCGGCCUGAAAGGUCAGCUGUGAAAACUCGAGGCUCAACCUCGAGACGUCGGUUGAAACCAUCUGGCUAGAGUCCGGAAGAGGAGUGUGGAAUUCCCGGUGUAGCGGUGAAAUGCGCAGAUAUCGGGAAGAACACCCGUGGCGAAGGCGGCACUCUGGGACGGUACUGACGCUGAGACGCGAAAGCGUGGGGAGCGAUCCGG
rnacentral:rRNA from 1 species